rnacentral:rRNA from 1 species
UCGAGAACUGAGAAUGCUUACCAUGCAAGUCUUCUUGGACUUCGGUUUGGGUGGCGGACGGGUGAGUAACGCGUAAAGAACUUGCCUCACAGCUAGGGACAACAUUUGGAAACGAAUGCUAAUACCUGAUAUUAUUAUUUUAUGGCAUCAUAGGAUAAUGAAAGCUAUAAGCGCUGCGAGAGAGCUUUGCGUCCCAUUAGCUAGUUGGAGAGGUAACGGCUCACCAAGGCGAUGAUGGGUAGCCGGCCUGAGAGGGUGAACGGCCACAAGGGGACUGAGACACGGCCCUUACUCCUACGGGAGGCAGCAGUGGGGAAUAUUGGACAAUGGACCGAGAGUCUGAUCCAGCAAUUCUGUGUGCACGAUGAAGUUUUUCGGAAUGUAAAGUGCUUUCAGUUGGGAAGAAAAGAAUGACGGUACCAACAGAAGAAGUGACGGCUAAAUACGUGCCAGCAGCCGCGGUAAU